UUUGCUCCAGUCAACGUAACGACUGAAGUAAAAUCUGUCGAAAUGCACCAUGAAGCUUUGAGUGAAGCUCUUCCUGGGGACAACGUGGGCUUUAAUGUCAAGAAUGUGUCUGUCAAGGAUGUUCGUCGUGGCAACGUUGCUGGUGACAGCAAAAACGACCCACCAAUGGAAGCAGCUGGCUUCACUGCUCAGGUGAUUAUCCUGAACCAUCCAGGCCAAAUAAGUGCUGGCUAUGCCCCUGUGUUGGAUUGCCACAUGGCUCACAUUGCAUGCAAGUUUGCUGAGCUGAAGGAAAAGAUUGAUCGCCGUUCUGGUAAAAAACUGGAAGAUGGCCCUAAAUUCUUGAAGUCUGGUGAUGCUGCCAUUGUUGAUAUGGUUCCUGGCAAGCCUAUGUGUGUUGAGAGCUUCUCAGACUAUCCACCUUUGGGUCACUUUGCUGUUCGUGAUAUGAGGCAGACAGUUGCGGUGGGUGUCAUCAAAGCAGUGGACAAGAAGGCUGCUGGAGCUGGCAAGGUCACCAAGUCUGCCCAGAAAGCUCAGAAGGCUAAAUGAAUAUUAUCCCUAAUACCUGCCACCCCACUCUUAAUCAGUGGUGGAAGAACGGUCUCAGAACUGUUUGUUUCAAUUGGCCAUUUAAGUUUAGUAGUAAAAGACUGGUUAAUGAUAACAAUGCAUCGUAAAACCUUCAGAAGGAAAGGAGAAUGUUUUGUGGACCACUUUGGUUUUCUUUUUUGCGUGUGGCAGUUUUAAGUUAUUAGUUUUUAAAAUCAGUACUUUUUAAUGGAAACAACUUGACCAAAAAUUUGUCACAGAAUUUUGAGACCCAUUAAAAAAGUUUAAUGAGAAAAAAAAAAAAAAAAAAAA